rnacentral:tRNA from 1 species
GGGUUCGGACCAGCGGACUUUUAAUCCGAUGGUCGUGGGUUCGACCCCCACCGGGCCCC